AAUUCAGAGAGCUGCAAUUCAUCUUUGUGGAGCCCAAUUCAGAGGGACACAGGAGCAGAAGAAGAGAGUGUUUUGACCAACUGGUUUCGAUUUGUGGUGCCGCCAUGGCUGGCCGGCUUUUCAGUCCACUGUAAAGUUGGGUUUUUUAGAAUUUUAUGGGUGCACUGAAUAUAUCAAUGGGUGCGUGUAUAAUUUUCUGUUCUCCACCCUUCUCUGUCCCGUGGUGCCGUUGACUCUCCUAGUUCUUCUCAUUUUCUAAUUUCAAUUCUGCUUCUUAUAAGCCUCAGAGCUUCACUGAGCCCAGCUCCUCAAGUUUUUCAUCGCGGUUUUUGGAAAUGCACGUCUGAUUUGGCUGUGGAUUAUGAAGGGGUUUGUUGGUUUUCAAUUAAUAUUUUAGCUUAUGGGAUAAUUAGAGCUGCUUUAUCAACAUUUAAAAGGAUAAAAGAAACGAUCGAGAUUCCAUUUCAUUGCCUUUCCUACUCCGAUUCUCAAUCCCUUAAGGCCUGUUGGGUGGGCUGGCUUCGACGUGGGCUUUUCUCUCCCUCAGCCUCCUUUGCUUUCGUCUCUAGUUUGAGCGAGCUUCUCUUUUCUAAAUCCCUUUAUCUUAUUUGCUUUCUCCACCAUGGUUUCAACGCCCCUAUGCGUCUGCUGUGAUUUUAGCCACUGUUGCAAGGUGGCUUCUUUUUCUCCAUUUCAUGGCUCUUUCCAAGACUAACCAUCAUGUACUUCCAGGCAAUUGGGCCUUCUGGGAGAGUUUGAUUGUAUAGGCUGAGGCUGAGUCUUGUGCAUUUGAGGCUCUUUCCAAGUCUUUUGCAGUUAGGUCUUUUACUUUUAUGUAUGCAUCAAUUUUGUUUGUAUAUCACCUUCUGUGUACCAAUUAAGCUGUUUUUUAAUUGCCUAUAGUGAACCAGUGCCGUAUGGAUUUAAUUUUGGGAAGGAAAUUGUUGGGAAUGUGCUGGUAGCUCCAUUGAGUUCAUUCAGAUCAUUGCUAAUUCCUAUUAUCUAGCCUUAAUGAUAUGAAUGUCCAUGCUUCAUCUGAGUUACCUGAUAAAAGUCUACCCAACAUGUUAAUAGACUUGCUAAUUUUUAUUA